UGCGGGAUCGUCUAACGGUAGGACGGCUGGCUCUGGACCAGUUAGUCCAGGUUCGAAUCCUGGUCCCGCAGCCA
rnacentral:tRNA from 1 species